rnacentral:rRNA from 1 species
GUGCACCCGUCGCGAAAACUUCACACUGUGCGAAAGCACGAUGAGGGAAUCCCAAGUGCUUGCACGUAAGUGUAAGCUGUUUCUCUGUCUAAAACGCAGAGAGAGUAAGGGCUGGGUAAGACGGGUGCCAGCCGCCGCGGUAAUACCUGCAGCUCAAGUGGUGACCGUUAUUAUUGGGCCUAAAACGUCCGUAGCCGGUUUAAUAAAUGCCUGGGUAAAUUGUGUAGCUUAACUAUACGAAUUCCGGGUAGACUGUUAAACUUGAGACCGGGAGAAGUUAGAGGUACUCCUGGGGUAGAGGUGAAAUUCUGUAAUCCUAGGGGGACCACCAGUGGCGAAGGCGUCUAACUAGAACGGGUCUGACGGUGAGGGACGAAGCCCUGGGGCGCAAACGGGAUUAGAUACCCGUGUAGU